UACGUAGGGGGCGAGCGUUGUCCGGAAUCAUUGGGCGUAAAGCGCGUGUAGGCGGCUUCGUAAGUCCGUUGUGAAAGUCCAGGGCUCAACCCUGGAAUGCCGAUGGAUACUGCGGAGCUAGAGUCCGGAAGAGGCGAGUGGAAUUCCUGGUGUAGCGGUGAAAUGCGCAGAUAUCAGGAGGAACACCAAUGGCGAAGGCAGCUCGCUGGGACGGUACUGACGCUGAGACGCGAAAGCGUGGGGAGCAAACAGG
rnacentral:rRNA from 1 species